rnacentral:rRNA from 1 species
GACGAACGCUGGCGGCGUGCCUAAUACAUGCAAGUCGAACGCACUCUCGUUUAGAUUGAAGGAGUUUGCUCCUGAUUGAUAAACAUUUGAGUGAGUGGCGGACGGGUGAGUAACACGUGGGUAACCUGCCCUAAAGUGGGGGAUAACAUUUGGAAACAGAUGCUAAUACCGCAUAAAACCUAACACCGCAUGGUGUAGGGUUGAAAGAUGGUUUCGGCUAUCACUUUAGGAUGGACCCGCGGUGCAUUAGUUAGUUGGUGAGGUAAAGGCUCACCAAGACCGUGAUGCAUAGCCGAACUGAGAGGGUAAUCGGCCACACUGGGACUGAGACACGGCCCAGACUCCUACGGGAGGCAGCAGUAGGGAAUCUUCCACAAUGGACGAAAGUCUGAUGGAGCAACGCCGCGUGAGUGAAGAAGGUUUUCGGAUCGUAAAACUCUGUUGUUGGAGAAGAAUGUAUCUGAUAGUAACUGAUCAGGUAGUGACGGUAUCCAACCAGAAAGCCACGGCUAACUACGUG